rnacentral:lncRNA from 1 species
UCUCUCUGUCUCUCUCUCUCUCUCUCCUUUCUCUGUCUCUCUCUCUCUAGUGCAAGCCUGCUGAGCCAAUGCUGUGAAGUUCCACAGAGCCACCUUCUGAAGCCCUCGUCUGCCACACCUGGGGUCCAGGCUCCUUAUCUCACCUCCACUGCACUCCCCACAGGACUGCUGUGGGGAGCCAGGCCUGGGGUGGCUUUGGCUGCUGAGAGGAGCACAGAUACCUCAAGACACAUGCACCCCCACGGCCUCUUGGAUCAUGGCCCCUUCUGGAGAGAUGGUCUGGUUAUUCUGCUCCGUGAGGGUCACAGGCCCAGGGCCUGGGACUGGCAUGAGGCGCCCCUCCCCACCUGGCAUUUGAAUGGAUAGGAGCCCCACACCUGGUGACUGCUGUGGAGGGGAGAAUAUGGGCCAGGAGCUGAAAGAGAUGGACAUAUCUCCUCCCCAAGCCCCUCAGAAGACCUGCUUAGCCUCUAACCCUGGCACCAAGGGCAGAAUUCCCAGCCGCCCUCCACUAUUAGCCCCAAUUAGCUCUCGAUUUAAACCUUCAGCUUUAACCAAUCUUGGCUCGUGGAUGCCCUCUGGGGACAGAAGAAGGACUGGUCAUCUUGACGGUGCCAAAGACAAGUGUAAUGGGUCAAGAGAAGGAUGCAAGCAAGGAUGUGAAUGCACAGUUGAAGCAUCCCUAGUCUGUCCUUCCUGUUUGGGAGAAAGAGGAAGAUGCCCAAAGAUCCUUCUCUUUAGCGUCUUGCUCUCCUCUUGUCCCAUUUAAGCUCCCAAUGAAGAAGCCUAUCUCCUCCCACUUUGAACUGAUUUCCAGGGACUGUCAACCCUUCCUGGAAUUUAUCUGUCUUCUCUUCCUGCCCCAUCAUCCCCUCUUAAAAAAAAGGACUUUUUCAAAGAAAUACAUGUAAAAUACCAGGAAGUAACAAGUUUGCACCUCUCCCACCUCUUUCUCACCUAUUAUUUCAUAAAGCUGGUUCUUUAUGUUGCUCUACAUGCCUUAAUAUAUGUUUUAUGGAAAUUAUACAUAUUCUAGAUAAUAUAUAUUUGUUUGGAUGUCUUAUCCAUUUCCAGAGCCCCUGACCUUAACUAUUCUUCCCUUUCCCUUACCCUCUUUACUGUAUCAGAUCACAACCCAUCAAGUGAAUUCCUCUACCCCAACCCACUAGUUCUCUUUUUAUCCAAAAAUGAAGAAGAAAAAAAAGGACUUUUAAGAUAGAUCUAUUUUAUGCUUUUGUUAAAGGCAAAUCUAUUUUCAAAAUGUAGAAUGUCUGGGUUGAUGUAGUUGCCAGUUCCUGGGGUGACUGGGAGUAGGAGGCUCAGUGCCACUGCCACUGCCAUUCACACACACACAAAAGCUCUCCCUACUUAUGGAUUGUCUACCAUUUUCCUAUCCAGAAAAGGCCAAAACCCUGUUCAAAAAGUUGCUGGGGAAAUCUUGAUUUGCUAUGGAAUUUCUCUUGAAGGUCCCCAGACAACUUGAUAUCCUGGCUAAUUUCCUCUCAUCUGAGUGCUGAUGAGUUUAUCUGUGAAUCUUGACCAAUUCUUCCCAACCAGCCUCUGCUCAACAGAAGCAAGAAAGGAAAUCUACUGUUGGACCAUGAAGUGAUGUCUUCCAAAACCAAACAAAAGUGAUUUGGGAAUCACUGAUGCUAACUGUUCCCCUAUUAGCACAGAGAAUUGAGAGCUGUUUGGAUCUUCUUGUUUUUUUUUUUAAUCCAAUUAUCUCCCCCCCCCCCCCAUAUGUAUGUAAGGCAUCUCCAGCUGUGUUCCCUCUCUCAGGGUCCUAUCCCUUGUCCCUUCAACCACCCUUGGAAUUAGUACCAUCAGUCUGGUAUCCAGGCUGCCAAAUAAGGUCAUGUGCCAAGGAAGAUUCCAAGGGACCGUGUGGCCCAUUCAUGGCCUUGUCAAGAGGACCCAGACCCAACCCAUUCAUUGAAGUGUAUUCUCUGUCCUGAAAACAAUGCAACAACCCUAGCUGCUCUCUUGCCAUGAAAUGAAAUAAGCAGGCAAAGAGCAAUUUUGUGGGGAGGGUAUAGACAAUCAGGAGGUCUCUGUAAUCUUGUGUCAAGGCACAUAAGAUGGAAUGGCACAUGAUUCUCAGCAGGGGUUUAGAACUUGACCUCCCAUCUCAAGAGACGCUUUGGUGCUUGCUUCUCUACUUACCCAUCCCAGCAUGAACUUUAUUUCCCAGGAGGUGAGAUGGGGGGCUUAGUGCCCAGCUUGAUCCCACCUACUCUCAUCUCAAAAAGCUAUGGGCUGGAGGAAGUCCCAAUGGUGUUAUCCAUGCAGGGGAAAUCCCUGAUUAAUAAUAACCUAAGGUUGACCCAGUCAAUAAUUCCCUCCAUCCGUGGUUUGUAUCUGGGAUUGCCCUAUUGCAAAGGUCACUUUAACAAUAUUCGGUUAUGUGGACUCUCUCUCCUUACUCAGGGCUUACUCAGAGCCCUGUUCUUGUUGGGGGAAGGGGGUGGGGAGGGGAAGAAGAAAUGACUGUUGGUUGAGAUGGGAUUGAUUCCCUUGUCUUUCUGUAACACCUUCCACCUGGUCACUCUUGUAACCAAGAAAACCCCACAGGAGAGAAUUAUAUCUACUUAUGCACAUUCUGGGGACAAUUUAAUCUUGCUAGAGUUAGACAAUAAACCUAACGAGGAAACCUGUGAUGUUGGUGUC